rnacentral:rRNA from 1 species
CCUACGGGUGGCUGCAGUGAGGAAUAUUGGUCAAUGGACGAGCGUCUGAACCAGCCAAGUAGCGUGAAGGAUGACUGUCCUAUGGGUUGUAAACUUCUUUUAUAAAGGAAUAAAACGAGGCACGUGUGCCUUUUUGCAUGUACUUUAUGAAUAAGGAUCGGCUAACUCCGUGCCCGCAGCCGCGGUCAUACGGAGGAUCCGAGCGUUAUCCGGCUUUAUUGGGUUUAAAGGGAGAGUAGAUGGGUUGUUAAGUCAGUGGUGAAAGUUUGCGGCUCAACCGUAAAAUUGCAGUUGAUACUGGCAGUCUGGAGGACAGUUGAGGUAGGCGGAAUUCGUGGUGUAGCGGUGAAAUGCUUAGAUAUCACGAAGAAGCCCGAUUGCGAAGGCAGCUUACUAAGCUGUGACUGACAUGGAUGCACGAAAGUGUGGGUAUCAAACAGGAUUAGAUACCCGAGUAGUC